rnacentral:rRNA from 1 species
AGGAUGAACGCUGGCGGCGUGCCUAACACAUGCAAGUCGAGCGAGAAAUCGCUCAAUGAUCUUCGGGUGAUUGAGCGAUGGAAAGCGGCGGACGGGUGAGUAACGCGUAGGUAACCUGCCCCAUACAGAGGGAUAGCCACUGGAAACGGUGAUUAAUACCUCAUAACACCGGAAUAUCGCAUGGUAUACCGGUCAAAGUUUUUUCGGUAUGGGAUGGACCUGCGUCUGAUUAGCUGGUUGGUGGGGUAACGGCUCACCAAGGCGACGAUCAGUAGCCGACCUGAGAGGGUGAUCGGCCACAUUGGAACUGAGACACGGUCCAAACUCCUACGGGAGGCAGCAGUGGGGAAUAUUGCACAAUGGGCGCAAGCCUGAUGCAGCAACGCCGCGUGAACGAAGAAGGCUCUUGGGUCGUAAAGUUCUGUUCUGAGGGAAGAAGAUCUGACGGUACCUCAGGAGAAAGCCCCGGCUAACUACGUGCCAGCCGCGGC